GAUGAAGAACGUAGCGAAAUGCGAUAAGUAAUGUGAAUUGCAGAAUUCAGUGAAUCAUCGAGUCUUUGAACGCACAUUGCGCCCCCUGGUAUUCCGGGGGGCAUGCCUGUCCGAGCGUCAUUGCUGCCCUCAAGCACGGCUUGUGUGUUGGGCCCCCGCCCCUCCCCCCGGGGGGGCGGGCCCGAAAGGCAGCGGCGGCACCGCGUCCGGUCCUCGAGCGUAUGGGGCUUCGUCACCCGCUCUGUAGGCCCGGCCGGCGCCCGCCGGCGACCCCAAUCAAUCUUUCCAGGUUGACCUCGGAUCAGGUAGGGAUACCCGCUGAACUUAAGCAUAUCAAUAAGCGGAGGA
rnacentral:misc_RNA from 1 species